rnacentral:rRNA from 1 species
AUUGAACGCUGGCGGCAGGCCUAACACAUGCAAGUCGAGCGGAUGAAGGGAGCUUGCUCCUGGAUUCAGCGGCGGACGGGUGAGUAAUGCCUAGGAAUCUGCCUGGUAGUGGGGGAUAACGUCCGGAAACGGGCGCUAAUACCGCAUACGUCCUGAGGGAGAAAGUGGGGGAUCUUCGGACCUCACGCUAUCAGAUGAGCCUAGGUCGGAUUAGCUAGUUGGUGGGGUAAAGGCCUACCAAGGCGACGAUCCGUAACUGGUCUGAGAGGAUGAUCAGUCACACUGGAACUGAGACACGGUCCAGACUCCUACAGGAGGCAGCAGUGGGGAAUAUUGGACAAUGGGCGAAAGCCUGAUCCAGCCAUGCCGCGUGUGUGAAGAAGGUCUUCGGAUUGUAAAGCACUCUAAGUUGGGAGGAAGGGCAGUAAGUUAAUACCUUGCUGUUUUGACGUUACCAACAGAAUAAGCACCGGCUAACUUCGUG